rnacentral:misc_RNA from 1 species
GACGAACUCCGUACACGCCUCGGCACCAGCAACAGGUCGUCGUUCUCUCGUCAUCAGACGCGACCGGCGAACGCUUCAGUCCCCACGUUGUGUCCCGAGUGCGUGUGCGUACGUAUGUGUGUGUGCAUGUUAUAAACAUAUUGCUGCAUUUCGACAGUUGAACACGAAAACGCCGUACCGGAAAAUGUGAAACAAUAUUGUUCCGCGAGUUCACAUUCAGUUCUGUGCGCUUUCUCGAUCGAUACAACCCAAGUUUAUCUUCAUCGUUGUAUUUUUACUACAUAACCGUACGGUAUUGUUAAGCUGUAAUUUUAUUUUUAUUUUCGGGACAUUUUUGCGAUUUCAGUCGACUACCGCUGUGUAAAGAGUGCGACGAAAAAAAUAAAAAAAAAAUUAAAUAUAGUAAAAUUUUUAAAACGUACGCGCACCAGAGGACAUGAACAUGUCUUGUCAAGACAUGGACGCGUUGGGGGUGUACUUAGAGUUCCCGUCAAAAUUCGACUCGUUCCUGAACGACGACAUGAAAGGUCUUUGGGAUUCCGUCGACUCAGAUCUGGAUCAGGAUCUUGGCGAUGCACUAAGGGCGACCGCAGAAGACGCGUCCGAUUGGUUGAUCAGCGGCAACGGCCGGUCAAAUUCUCACGUGGUACUACAUGACCGUCUGAUGACCGACGCGCUCUUGGGCAAUGCCCCUAUCAAGGCCGAACACUCGUAUUGUACUACGCACGGGUCUAGGGAAUCGUUGGACGCUAUAGAUUUGGACGAAGACAGCAGUCAGGAUGGAACUUGCAAACUUACGUUUGACGAAGUAAGGUGCGAUCGUACGGGCAAUAUUGAAAUGAUAAGUAUCAAAGACGACUCGAUUUCCGUAAAAGACGAACCCAUGAGUGACCAAGAAUAUGUCGAGACUUCUUCUUGUCCACCGUCACCGUGUUCUGCGAUUGAUGACACGCCCAGACAUUAUGGCAAGGUACAAAAAACCAGUUGCAACGAACCCACCACCGUUGUGUUGACCUCAAGAGCUUUCCUCAACCAACCACAUAGAUUAAUCGUACCAAACUUCAGUUUAAAAAUGGAUGGCACAGGUUUUACACUGCCACCUACGCCACCUUCGUCUACGUCCAGCGACAGCGAGGGCGGUAACGUAUCGCCGCACCACCGAUCGUCGCCCACACGGCGGUUAUUCCUGUCGUCAUCGGCGACCACCAGCAGUCGGCAGCCUAUACAGACACCGUUGAUCAGCUGUCAGCCAAAAGGUUCGACUGGUGCGCUGUUGCUCACCGAAGAGGAGAAACGUACCCUGCUUGCUGAGGGCUACCCUGUCCCCACAAGGUUGCCAUUAACCAAGGCCGAGGAGAAAUCGCUGAAGAAAAUCCGCAGGAAAAUUAAGAACAAGAUAUCGGCGCAAGAAAGUCGACGCAAGAAGAAGGAAUAUAUGGAUUCGUUAGAGAGGAAAGUCGAAAUUCUCGUUUCUGAAAACAACGAGUACAAAAAGAAAAUCGUCAACCUAGAAGAAAGCAACGGGUCUCUAGUUCAGCAGUUGCAGAAGUUACAGAAAUUACUCGGACUGCAAGCAACACAAAUUAGUCAAUAACUGAUAACUAAAUCAUUUCGUAAUUACCAGUGGGGUAAAUUGUACAUAACAACCAAUGGUGCAAAUGUAAUAUGUUUAAGAAUUUUAGUUCAAUGUUGACAGCUAGUCCGUGAAAUUACCAAAUGCAUUUCUGUUGGUGUUCAAUGUUAUUCACAAUUAACAAUAACACCGUGUACGAUGAUUAUCGCAUUGAUUUAAAACGGAUUAAGAAUUAUUACUAUUUCGUAAUAAUUUGAGAUAAGCCUAAUUUUUGAAAUCUGGCCAACGUCUCCGUUACAGAAUUUUGAGUCACGGUCAAUGGUGUAUAUAAUAUUAAAUAUCUCUUAAUUUAUGUAUUUAUAUAUUUACAUAAUUAUAUAAUUCUGUAUAAAAGAAGAAAAAUGACUGACGAAAAACACCAAUUAUUGGAUAAAAGUAAUGUUUUGUUAUUGGUACGUAUAAAUGUAUAGUAAUAAAUCAAAAAUAAUUAACUUUUAAUCUCAUUAUUAAUUGCUGUAAGUGCCAAAAUUAUAUCUUAUAUUACGUUAAUGUAUAUAUUUUUUUAUUUUUUAAAACGCUUGUCUCUGUGUAACCUGCCACGUAUAUAUUAUAUGCUACAGACGUAAUAUUUUCUCCAUGUUAUAUACAUUUUAUAAAUCAAUAAACAAACAAUAUUGUUAA